rnacentral:lncRNA from 1 species
CCAAUGUAAAUUAACAGAACAUCAUCAUAAAUAUCAUCAACAACUGAAUAAUUUCCAAUCAAACUCUGAUAAUAAUCUAUUCAUAAAUCAUGAUCCUUCAUUUCAUAAAUCACAGUUCAGGAAAUCCUCAACUAUUCAGUAUCCUCCAUUAUCGGCUAAGCAACUGAAUUUAGCCUGCUAAACCAGCAUGACAAUGGCGGGUUGAAUAAUCAAGAAGAUCCCUAUUCAUUCUAAGUUCUAACUAUCACCAACACAUGCUUCAAUGACAAUCUGAACUUCGAAUUAAUUUGUAAAACGGAAAUUCUUUAGAAACUUGAAGAUUAGAAAGAAUGGGUCAGAAUACUCGCACUUUCGAACAUUGAAAAGAAAGGUAUGAAUACUUGAAACAUAUACCAAAGGAAUGGAUCAGAAUAUUUGCAAUAUAUCCAAGAGAAAGGGUUUAGGAUACUUGCAACACAUAUAAAAAGAAUGGAUCAGAAUAUGCAAUAUAUCCAAAAGCAGGGUGCAGGAUACUUGCCUUAAAUCUGACUCCAGUCUCACAUCUCAAUCUCAUCUUUCCACUUUCACAAUCUAUGCAUCUCAUAGUCUCUAGACCAUCUCUGGCUAUACUCUUUCUACCGUACAUCUUCGCUUCGCUUACUCGAUUCAUCCCUUAUUCGCUUUGCAAUACCAUUUC